rnacentral:rRNA from 1 species
GAAAGUAAUUAAGGGCGCAUGGCGGAUGCCUUGGCUCACAGAGGCGAUGAAGGACGUGAUAAGCUGCGAUAAGCUGCGGUAAGGUGCAAAUAACCUUUGACCCGCGGAUUUCCGAAUGGGACAACCCACCCACGCAAUACGUGGGUAUCACUGCUCAGCGGUGAGGCGAACCGGGGGAACUGAAACAUCUUAGUACCCCGAGGAAUAGAAAAUAAAUUAAUGAUUCCCCCAGUAGUGGCGAGCGACCGGGGAAUAGCCCAAACCAGCGUUGUGGCAACGCAUCGCUGGGGUUGUAGGACCGCGCUGUUGUACAUUGCGUGUGAGGAGAAUCUCCUGGAAAGGAGUGCCAUAGCGGGUGAUAGCCCCUUAUCCGAAGCAUAAGAUGACAUAGCGGUAUCCUGAGUAACGCGGGACACGAGUAAUCCUGCGCGAAUCUGCCGGGACCAUCCGGUAAGGCUAAAUACUCCUGUGAGACCGAUAGCGAACCAGUACCGUGAGGGAAAGGUGAAAAGCACUUCGAUAAGAAGAGUGAAAUAGUUCCUGAAACCAUGCGCCUACAAGCGGUCGGAGCUGCUUUAGCAGUGACGGCGUGCCUUUUGCAUAAUGAACCUACGAGUUACCUUCACCAGCAAGGUUAAGGGCCAUUAGGCCUGGAUCCGCAGUGAAAGCGAGCCUGAAUAGGGCGUAUUAGUUGGUGGUGGUAGACGCGAAACCAAGUGAUCUACACAUGUCCAGGAUGAAGUCCCGGUAACACGGGAUGGAGGUCCGAACGGAUAAGCGUUGAAAAGUUAGGGGUUAGAAGCUGCGCAGUAAGGGGACGGGUGCUAAGGUCCGUUCCCGAGAGGAGAAGAAUCCAGACCGCCGUCUAAGGUCCCGGAGUUCUGCCUGAGUUAGUCUAACGAAGUCUGGUCCCCGCGACAGCCAGGAUGUUGGCUUGGAAGCAGCCAUUCAUUUAAAGAGUGCGUAACAGCUCACUGGUCGAGGGUCCGGGCGUGGAUAAUAAUCGGGUAUAAGGCAGACACCGAAGACGCGGGAUAGAAUUUAAAAAAGUAUCGGUAGGGGAGCAUUCCAUCGGCGUUGAAUGCGAUAAGACAAUUAUCGCUGGAGCUUAUGGAAAAGCAAAUGUAGGUAUAAGUAACGAUAAGGAGGGUAAGAUUCCCUCCCGCCGUAAGACUAAGGUUUCCCGGGCAAUGCCAAUCAUCCCGGGGUCAGUCGGGUCCUAAGGCUCAGCCGAACGGCGAGGCCGAUGGCAGAAAGGGUUAAUAUUCCCUUACUGCCGCACGGAGCGACGCGGAGACGGAGGCGUGACACCACCGCGGAGAGACGGAAUUCUCCGUUGAAGAGUGUAGAUGUUGAGGGUGGCAGGCAAAUCCACCACCCGAGUCGAAUCUCGAAAGUAUGCUUUUCCCUUCGGGGCGAGGCAAUAGUGUGGGUAAUCAUACUCCCGAGAAAAUCCGCUAAGCUUAAUCCGUGCGGCACCCGUACCGCAAACGGACACACGUAGUCGGGUAGAACAUACUAAGGCGUUGAGAGAUUCAUGGUUAAGGAACUAGGCAAAUUGACCCCGUAACUUCGGGAUAAGGGGUCCUCGUCGCAAGGCGAGGCGCAGAGAAUAGGUCCAGGCAACUGUUUAACAAAAACACAGGGCUGUGCAAACUCGAAAGAUGAGGUAUACAGCCUGACACCUGCCCGGUGCCGGAAGGUUAAGAGGAGAGCUUAGAGGCAACUCGAAGGUUUGAAUUGAAGCCCCGGUAAACGGCGGCCGUAACUAUAACGGUCCUAAGGUAGCGAAAUUCCUUGUCGGGUAAGUUCCGACC